rnacentral:tRNA from 1 species
GAUGACCGAGUGGCCGAAGGUGCUCCCCUGCUAAGGGAGUAUGGGGUGUAGAGCCUCAUCGAGGGUUCGAAUCCCUCUCGCUCCGCCA